GCGUUGUUGGUGUAGUGGUUAGCAUUGAAGCCUUCCAUGUCAGACGAGUGCCUGUGCUUGAUGAAUAGCUUUAGUCCGGGGUUCGAAUCCCCGACAACGCA
rnacentral:tRNA from 1 species